UUGGGACCGUGCAAGUUCGGCAAAGCGACCCCUAUUUCUACGCUCUAUACUAAAAUUCGCACUUUUAAUUAUAUUGGCCAAUUAUAUUAGUCCUGGUUACUGGAUAAUUGUCAAGGCCAUAGUCCAAAAAAAUAAUUAGGCAAUCCAAACCACGUGACCUCUGGUUGGCACACAAACUAACAAAGAGGUUAUGUUUGUAUCUAUUUUUCAAUAAUUUUUCAUUGUUUAUCGUCGUAUUUUGGAUUCAUUUGGAUUUCGUUUCCUGUUUUUGCGAACUUUAUAAACUUUACCACAAUGCAAACUGAUUAUUUAAGGAAAUUAUUAUUGGAAACUCCAGAUGUUGCGAGAAAGAUAUUUAUUGAAGCUGAAAAUAAUUGGGGAUUUAGAUCCAUACGCAAUUCAGUCAGAAUUGGAUUUUACAGUAAAGUGCAGUCCAUCAAGUUACUAUUAUAGAUAUUUAUACAUAUACAUAUCUGGUGGAGUCUGAUAUGUCACAGUUGCUACUCUAAGCAGCAGAUGAAAGCAUACAAAAGCCUUCAGGCACAUAAAUAUUUUACAGCUGGAUUUGUUUUGAAUGGAGUAAAAAUUGUUAAUGAUUUCCUGAUUUCCAUAUUAUUGUCGGAAAGGUGAAUAUUUCCAAAAAUCUAAUGCUAAAUGACUAAAUGCUUGGGUGGGGUGAUAGCCAGUUCUGAUGACAUAGCAAAUUCACAUUGUAUGCGUAUGGCCGGUAAUAGUGAAGUCUGCAGCCAUAUUGCAGCAAUCCUAUUUUUAGCUUAGUAUGCUCAGGGCAAGACAGACGAAGAAGAACCCAAUGUAUGUACAUAUGUUACAGCUACAUGGUUUGGAGAUAGCAACAUAUGCAUUCUCUGAUGAAAAACUAAUGAAUUUUGAAACUGUUCGGUCAGAAACGAAUUGAAAUAUAAGAUGGCUUUGGCAUUGUGUUUUAGUGAUAUGAAAAUGGUUAUUCAUUUUUAAUUAUAAUGUACUUCUUCAUCAUGAGUAAUUAUGUAUUGGUCUUUUAAAUGUGUAUUUAUUUUUGUAAUUAGUAUCAACUUGUAAUGAUAAUAUACAUUUAUCGUUUAAGGUAUGACUAUGUUUUGACUCUAAAAUAAAUGUUUUAAAAAUCAAA
rnacentral:lncRNA from 1 species